AGGAUGGCAGCGCCAUCGAUCUGUUGCGUACCUCUGCCCCAGCAAACGCAAGCAGGCAAGCGUGCCAGACGUCGGCGAGCUCCUCACAGGCGGCGACGACGGAAUGAAGGAAGAAGCCCGGCCGUGAUGAAUUAGACUGGAUAUGGAUUGGGGUGGGCCUGGUCUGGUCCGGAUAAAAACACUGAAAAUCAAAUAAUUAAUUUAAGGUGCUUUUAUGAUUCGUGCUAAUGUGUAAGAAGGGAGUAUUGGAGCAGUUCUUUGGGGGCUCCAGCAGCAGAAAGCGCCGCGCAGACGCACCCCAAAAUCCCCACCACUUCGAUCUAGCCGUCCUUCCCCACCGGCCACCGCUCGCUGGCUCCCAUCUGAGCUGCAGCGGCAGCUGGAGGCGGCGCCGAGCGCAGGCUCUAGCAUGCGGCUGUCGGAGCGGAACGUGGUGAAGUGGUGCUGAAGCUGCGGGUGCGCCGCAUCAUCGACUUCAACCUCGACUCCGGCAAACAGUUCAUAACAUCCAUAACAGGGAUAGGUGGCUGAAAGCUUUAAAAAGAAUGAAGAUAAAAGGGGAUGUCAUGGUGUAGUGAUUCUGAGAUCCCCAUAUGUAGUGCCGAUAAGCUGCCAUUUUCAAUCUACAUGGUAUUGGCUGAUUAUGACAGCACUACAGUGAAACUUCUAGCACUACAACCUGCUGCUACUGAUGAGGGCUGGAACAAAGUAACCACUAACUACGAACUUGUAUUGUACUGUGUCUUUGCCUUGUGGGAAGAAGAUUGCACAUUGGACCGAACACGAGAAAGAAAGAUCUGGAAGAAAGGCUGAUGCCUGAACUGAAAUCCCUGGUCCUCGGCACAACCAAAGAGCUAGCAGCAAUAUUACGUGCGUGCUGGGCCAUGUCUUCGUAGAUACACAGAGCAAGCGUCAGCUUAAAAGGUUCUUUCUUUUGUUUGCAUCUGGCUCUAGCAAUUUUCAUUGUUUCGAAGCAAAAAAUAGCAGGAAACUGAUCCUGUGAUUGUAAGAAUCCUGGUUUAAAGUAUCGUUCAUUCCUGCACUCCAGGGUACAACAAAAUUAUCCUAUCAUGUAAUACAGAAUAUUGUGGAUGUUCAUAUCAAAUUUAGUAGCAGAAGAAAUUACUACUUACUAACAA